UCCUACGGGAGGCAGCAGUGAGGAAUAUUGGGCAAUGGGCGCAAGCCUGACCCAGCCAUGCCGCGUGAAGGAUGAAUGCCCUAUGGGUUGUAAACUUCUUUUGUACGGGACGAAACUUCUGGUCGUGACCAGGAUUGACUGUACCGUGCGAAUAAGCAUCGGCUAACUCCGUGCCAGCAGCCGCGGUAAUACGGAGGAUGCAAGCGUUAUCCGGAUUCAUUGGGUUUAAAGGGUGCGUAGGCGGAAUAAUAAGUCAGUGGUGAAAGCCUGCGGCUUAACCGUAGAACUGCCAUUGAUACUGUUAUUCUUGAGUAUAGUUGAGGUGGGCGGAAUGUGUAAUGUAGCGGUGAAAUGCUUAGAUAUUACACAGAACACCAAUUGCGAAGGCAGCUCACUAAGCUGUUACUGACGCUGAGGCACGAAAGCGUGGGGAGCAAACAGGAUUAGAUACCCUGGUAGUCCACGCCGUAAACGAUGAUCACUCGUUGUUGGCGAUACACCGUCAGCGACUGAGCGAAAGCAAUAAGUGAUCCACCUGGGGAGUACGGCGGCAACGCUGAAACUCAAAGGAAUUGACGGGGGCCCGCACAAGCGGAGGAACAUGUGGUUUAAUUCGAUGAUACGCGAGGAACCUUACCUGGGCUUGAAAGGGGAUUGACCUCCCGGGAAACCGGGAUUCUCUUCGGAGCAAUCUCCUAGGUGCUGCAUGGUUGUCGUCAGCUCGUGCCGUGAGGUGUCGGGUUAAGUCCCAUAACGAGCGCAACCCCUAUUGUUAGUUGCCAGCGGGUAAUGCCGGGAACUCUAACGAAACUGCCGGUGUAAACCGAGAGGAAGGUGGGGAUGACGUCAAAUCAGCACGGCCCUUAUGUCCAGGGCUACACACGUGUUACAAUGGCCGGUACAAAGGGCAGCUACUUGGUGACAAGAUGCUAAUCUCGAAAACCGGUCUCAGUUCGGAUCGAAGUCUGCAACUCGACUUCGUGAAGCUGGAUUCGCUAGUAAUCGCGCAUCAGCAAUGGCGCGGUGAAUACGUCCCCGGGCCUUGUACACACCGCAU
rnacentral:rRNA from 1 species